rnacentral:rRNA from 1 species
CCUACGGGAGGCAGCAGUGGGGAAUUUUGGACAAUGGGCGAAAGCCUGAUCCAGCGACGCCGCGUGGAGGACGAAGGUCUUCGGAUUGUAAACUCCUUUUGCAGGGGACGAAAAAAAUGACGGUACUCUGCGAAUAAGCCACGGCUAACUACGUGCCAGCAGCCGCGGUAAUACGUAGGUGGCGAGCGUUACUCGGAAUCACUAGGCGUAAAGCGCGUGUAGGCGGUAUUUUAAGUCUGUUGUGAAAUCUUAUGGCACAACCAUAAAAUGUCGACAGAUACUGAAGUACUAGAGUGAGGCAGGGGAAACUGGAAUUCCAGGUGUAGCGGUGAAAUGCGUAGAUAUCGGGAGGAACACUCAUGGCGAGGGCAGCUUCCUGGGCCAGCACUGACACUGAGGCGCGAAAGCGUGGGGAGCAAACAGGAUUAGAUCCCCCUGUAGU